rnacentral:rRNA from 1 species
GACGAACGCUGGCGGCGUGCUUAACACAUGCAAGUCGAACGGAAAGGCCCUGCUUUUGUGGGGUGCUCGAGUGGCGAACGGGUGAGUAACACGUGAGUAACCUGCCCUUGACUUUGGGAUAACUUCAGGAAACUGGGGCUAAUACCGGAUAGGAGCUCCUGCUGCAUGGUGGGGGUUGGAAAGUUUCGGCGGUUGGGGAUGGACUCGCGGCUUAUCAGCUUGUGGGUGGGGUAGUGGCUUACCAAGGCUUUGACGGGUAGCCGGCCUGAGAGGUUGACCGGCCACAUUGGGACUGAGAUACGGCCCAGCCUCCUACGGGAGGCAGCAGUGGGGAAUAUUGCACAAUGGGCGGAAGCCUGAUGCAGCAACGCCGCGUGCGGGAUGACGGCCUUCGGGUUGUAAACCGCUUUCGCCUGUGACGAAGCGUGAGUGACGGUAAUGGGUAAAGAAGCACCGGCUAACUACGUG